CAAGUCCCUGUCGGGUAAGGUUUAGCCAACCACCCGUAUCGCGUGUUGCGCCUAUGGCGGAGCUUGUUUUUCAAGCGAACAAGAUAGGUGAAGCGUACACAGAGAAUUAUAUAGGCCAUAGGGGAUACGUGUCCCUUAAGUGCUGGUAUCGCUCCGACAAGUACAGUCUGACUGACGAGGUUUGUAACGCCAUCGAAGUCCAAGCAAAGCAACCGUUAUUCAACGCACAUGAAAGGGCAAGGUUGUGGCGAGUCAGCGGAGUUAUUAAGCC
rnacentral:ncRNA from 1 species